rnacentral:tRNA from 1 species
GCCAGCAUAGCUCAGUGGUAGAGCAUCCGCUUUGUAAGCGGCAGGUCGGGGGUUCAAAUCCUCCUGCUGGCU